AGUAAAUUUCCAAAAGGCGUGACGCAUAUUAUACCUUAUAUUAUAGAUCAUCUUUGUUGAUUGAUAUUAUGAAACUUUUUGUGUUUUUAUUUUUUGUUUGUUCAUCCUUGUAUUGUUUAACGUCGGCCAGAAAAUUAAAAAACAAUGAAUGGAGAAGGUCGCUUAUAUCUUCAAAAGCUUUAAGAGCUUUGAGACCCGGCGCCGCAGCUAAACGGCGAAUUGUUCAUUUCGGAAGAUUGCCUUCAGUUUUUUGACCAGAAAUAUGUCAGUGGUGAAUAUAAUGUAAGAAUUCUCGUGUUAUCUAAAAGAAGCCUAAUAAAGAUAUAAAAUUCAAAUCAA